rnacentral:lncRNA from 1 species
AUUACAUUAAAUUUCUAAGCACUUUUUGUUCAAUCAUUCAAUUUAAAUCCAAAACUAAAAAGAUUACAAUCAUCAUUCUAAACUCAUAAUGUAAUCCUACAUCAGUCCAAUGCCACGAACCAAUCUCUUUGAAUUCAAACUCCAAAGCAGCUUCAUUGGCAUUCCAAUUGAAGAUCCAGAACAUGAGCACCAAAACUUCAAAACAGUUCCA